rnacentral:tRNA from 2 species
AGCAUGUUAGCUCAGGGGAAGAGCGCCGGGCUCAUAACCCGGAGGUACGAUUUCACCUCACCAACCAAUCACAAUUCAAAUUCACUAACAAAAAAUAGGUCCCUGGAUCGAAACCAGGACAUGCUA